UACGUAGGUGGCGAGCGUUGUCCGGAUUUACUGGGCGUAAAGAGCGCGCAGGCGGUCGUGCAAGUCGCGUGUGAAAGCCCCCGGCUCAACUGGGGAGGGUCACGCGAUACUGCUCGACUCGAAGGCAGGAGAGGGAAGUGGAAUUCCCGGUGUAGUGGUGAAAUGCGUAGAUAUCGGGAGGAGCACCAGUGGCGAAGGCGACUUCCUGGCCUGUUCUUGACGCUGAGGCGCGAAAGCUAGGGUAGCAAACGGG
rnacentral:rRNA from 1 species